rnacentral:rRNA from 1 species
GAUGAACGCUGGCGGCGUGCCUAAUACAUGCCAGUCGAGCGAACAGACGAGGAGCUUGCUCCUCUGACGUUAGCGGCGGACGGGUGAGUAACACGUGGAUAACCUACCUAUAAGACUGGGAUAACUUCGGGAAACCGGAGCUAAUACCGGAUAAUAUAUUGAACCGCAUGGUUCAAUAGUGAAAGACGGUUUUGCUGUCACUUAUAGAUGGAUCCGCGCCGCAUUAGCUAGUUGGUAAGGUAACGGCUUACCAAGGCAACGAUGCGUAGCCGACCUGAGAGGGUGAUCGGCCACACUGGAACUGAGACACGGUCCAGACUCCUACGGGAGGCAGCAGUAGGGAAUCUUCCGCAAUGGGCGAAAGCCUGACGGAGCAACGCCGCGUGAGUGAUGAAGGUCGUCGGAUCGUAAAACUCUGUUAUUAGGGAAGAACAAAUGUGUAAGUAACUAUGCACGUCUUGACGGUACCUAAUCAGAAAGCCACGGCUAACUACGUG